rnacentral:rRNA from 1 species
CCUACGGGAGGCAGCAGUAGGGAAUAUUGCUCAAUGGGGGAAACCCUGAAGCAGCAACGCCGCGUGGAGGAUGAAGGUUUUCGGAUUGUAAACUCCUUUUGUUAGAGAAGAUAAUGACGGUAUCUAACGAAUAAGCACCGGCUAACUCCGUGCCAGCAGCCGCGGUAAUACGGAGGGUGCCAGCGUUACUCGGAAUCACUGGGCGUAAAGAGGGCGUAGGCGGGAUAGCAAGUCAGAUGUGAAAUCCUAUGGCUUAACCAUAGAACUGCAUUGGAAACUGUUAUUCUAGAGUAUGGGGGAGGUAGGUGGAAUUCUUGGUGUAGGGGUAAAAUCCUUAGAGAUCAAGAGGAAUACUCAUUGCGAAGGCGGCCUGCGGGAACAUAACUGACGCUGAUGCGCGAAGGCGUGGGGAGCGAACAGGAUUAGAUACCCUAGUAGUC